CAUGGUGUGUCAGUUUGGGUGGCGAGGCAACCCUUGAUCUUAGUGCCAGCAGGGGCACUCUAAGGUGACUGCCGGUGACAAACCGGAGGAAGGUGGGGAUGACGUCAAAUCAUCAUGCCCCUUAUGACCUGGGCUACACACGUGCUACAAUGGACAGAACAAAGGGCAGCGAAACCGCGAGGUUAAGCCAAUCCCACAAAUCUGUUCUCAGUUCGGAUCGCAGUCUGCAACUCGACUGCGUGAAGCUGGAAUCGCUAGUAAUCGCGGAUCAGCAUGCCGCGGUGAAUACGUUCCCGGGCCUUGUACACACCGCCCGUCACACCACGAGAGUUUGUAACACCCGAAGUNGGUGAGGUAACCUUUUAGGAGCCAGCCGCCGAAGGUGGGACAGAUG
rnacentral:rRNA from 1 species